UCAAACAUUGUACAUCUUUAUUAAGCAAAAACACUAUAAAUAAAAAAAAAGUGCAUAGAAAAAUUGAACAGGUUUAGAAAUAUGUAUACAACUAUUUACAAACUUAGGGGUCAUUUGUACAAGGUAGCAAAGACACAUGUUUUUUCAUUUGAAGUCUUUUUCAACACGUUGUUUUUUUUAAAUAGCCUACACAGGAACAGACAGAAUUUCUUUUCCCAGGAAGCUCUGGGAGACGCAUUAUCACAGGAGGUCCUGACUAGUGCUUUGCAUCCUUCAUUGCACACGAGCCAACUCUGCAUGACAGAACAGACCAAGCAAAUCUAGUUUUGCAUUAGUAUUACUUGAUGUCGUCUGAACAGCUUGAGGUAGAAUCCUUGCAAGUCUGGGGUGGUUUGAUUAAAAUCUGAGAUCCGCUAAAUUUCAGGUUCUGGAUGGAGAUUCUCCCUCCACACAAACACACAGAGUAAGGAAAAAGUGGGAGACGCCAACGUGAUUUAGUGGGAGGAAACUUCUCCUUUGAGAAAGUCAAAUAAAAUCAGACAACUAAGACAUUUAAAACAAACAGCCGGCUCAACACAUCACCUCUUAAAAAGGCCACGUUGCAAGAACUCAUCCUCAGUGUUCAAGUUAAAGAAAACGGGGGAAAACGGUUUAAAAGAACGAAGAAGAAAAAAAAACCCUGAAGAAAACUCUGAUAAGACCUUGGUCACAUACAAAAACGCACAGACCUAUGGGUAAAAACUCCCAUAAAGACAAACAGGAAUAAAAAGAACGCUCUUACAGUCCGUACGAUCUUAGAUGAACGAUGGCAUCAGCUUGUUGAUUAUUUUCCUGCAUGAAGAAGAGAACCAACUCCCAAAUCUUUCAAGGAAAAUUAAGGUGCCGAGUACCAACGUCUACUGAAAAACUGUUUCAAUAACUCUUCUAUAAAUAUAUAUAUAGAUCUUGUAUACAUCGUCUUCACGGUCCUAUGUCUUCUAGGACACUUUAAGCAGUUUCUAACUCCCUAGAUAAAUGUAGAGCUCCAAUUGUAUGUGCAAUUGUGGCAGAAAAUGAUUUAUUGCAGGAACAAUCCACAACGAGGAUGCAUUUAGUCACGAUUAGCUUAAGUAGUGUCCCUCUACUACAUGACGAAUAGAAACUCAAAUAUCCACUGUCCAGGCAUGAUUUUGUUUUCGACAAGAGGCUCCCAAGAGGUA